rnacentral:miRNA from 1 species
AUUGAGACUUUAGUAUUUUCAUG